rnacentral:snRNA from 1 species
AUACUUACUUUUAAUGAGAUAUGAAAUAAAAUUGAUUUAGGACAAAAAAAAAAAAAAAAAAUAAGGUGGUUCUCCCAGGGCGAGGCUCAUCCAUUGCACUCCGGGUGUGCUGACCUCUGCGAUUUCCCCAAAUGCGGGAAACUCGACUGCAUAAUUUGUGGUAGUGGGGGACUGCGUUCGCGCUCUCCCCUG